UCCCUGGUGGUCUAGUGGUUAGGAUUUGGUGCUCUCACCACAAUGGCCUGGGUUCAAUUCCCGGUCAGGGAA